CCUACGGGGCGCAGCAGUGGGGAAUAUUGCACAAUGGGGGAAACCCUGAUGCAGCGAUGCCGCGUGGAGGAAGAAGGUUUUCGGAUUGUAAACUCCUUUUAUCAGGGACGAUAAUGACGGUACCUGAAGAAAAAGCUCCGGCUAACUACGUGCCAGCAGCCGCGGUAAUACGUAGGGAGCGAGCGUUAUCCGGAUUUACUGGGUGUAAAGGGAGCGUAGACGGCGCGGCAAGUCUGAAGUGAAAGGCAGGGGCUUAACCCCUGAACUGCUUUGGAAACUGCCAUGCUAGAGUGCUGGAGAGGUAA
rnacentral:rRNA from 1 species